CGGCCUUAGCGCGGUGGUCCCACCUGACCCCAUGCCGAACUCAGAAGUGAAACGCCGUAGCGCCGAUGGUAGUGUGGGGUCUCCCCAUGCGAGAGUAGGGAACUGCCA
rnacentral:rRNA from 2 species